AAAGUCGUAACAAGGUUUCCGUAGGUGAACCUGCGGAAGGAUCAAUACAGUGGGGAGAGAGAGGAAAAGGGGAUUUGUUGAAACAAUUUAGAACUAUAUAUCAACAUCAACAUCAACAUUCACACAACUCAUAACAAUGGAUCUCUGGGCUCUU
rnacentral:misc_RNA from 1 species